CCCUCUCUCUCUCUCUCUCUCUUCACACGUACGCAAUUUGUCUGCUUCUCUGUCUGUCGUCUGAGCUGACUUAAGUGAGAGAGAGAGAGAGAUAGAGAAUGAAAACCAAACCCAGCCCCACUCCAUAGAGGGAGCGUCCUUGCAGACACACCCAGAAGGAAUCUCCGAUUGUUUCCGGGAAAAGCUUCUGUUUGGUCUGAACCUCUGAUGGGUCUUCUUCACUCUUGCGCCUCCCUUUUCCUUCUUCUCCUUGCAGUUUCCCUCACACCAGCUGUUUGUGGCAAUGCCGAACUGAGAGCUCUCAUGGAGAUAAAGUCCCAUCUGGACCCGGGCAACAAGUACUUGGCUUCUUGGACCAGUAAUGGUGACCCGUGUGGCGGCACAUUUGAGGGCGUGGCUUGUAAUGAGCACCAGAAAGUGGCUAACAUUUCUUUGCAGGGAAAGGGUCUCUCUGGCGUGGUUUCGCCGGCGGUGGAGUCGUUAAAGUGCUUGUCGGGUCUGUACUUGCAUUACAACUCUUUGACUGGAGAGAUACCCAAAGAGAUUGCAAAUCUCAGCGAACUGACUGAUCUGUAUCUCAACUUUAACAAUCUCUCUGGGACAAUACCUCCUGAGAUCGGAGACAUGGCAAGUCUUCAAGUCCUGCAGCUGUGUUGGAACCAGUUGAGUGGAAGCAUACCCACAAACUUGGGGUCACUGAAGAAGCUAACUGUCCUUUCUGUGGAUCAUAAUAGAUUAAAUGGAUCAAUUCCUUCGAGCUUAGGGACUUCGGGGACGCUAAAAAGACUUUUUUUGGGUUUUAAUCAGCUUUCUGGCUCAAUCCCAGCAAUAUUAGCCAAAAUUCCUCAGUUGGAAGUUCUGGAUGUCCAGAAUAAUACUCUCUCUGGUGUUGUUCCUCCUGCUUUGAAAAGAUUGAAUGAAGGACUCCAUUGCGAGAACAAUCCAGGCUUGUGUGGUGUUGGGUUUUCAUCAUUGAGAGCUUGCACUGCUUGGGAUGACGGGAACAUCAAUCAGGUUGAACCCUUCAAUCCCACAUCAAAUUACUCUACCCCCUCAGGUAUUCCUAUGCAUGCUAAUUUUCAAGGACAUUGCAACCAAACGCAUUGCUCAGCUUCAUCAAAAUUAGCCAAAGUUUCCAUCGUUUCUGGGGCUAUUGCUGUUGCUGUCACAUUAAUGAUUGUUGGAUUCCUGGUUCUUUUUCGAUAUCGGAGGCAAAAGCAGAAGAUUGGGACUAUGUCUGAUACUUCUGAUGGUCAGCUGAGCACUGAUCAGGCUAAAGAGUUAUACAGGAAUGCUGCCUCUCCUUUGGUGAGUCUCGAGUAUAGCAAGGGAUGGGAUCUGUUCUCUGAAAGCCAUGAUGGCAAUAGUGUUUCUCAGGAUUUCCCUCCGGGUUUUAGGUUCAAUUUAAUAGAUGUAGAAUCAGCAACUAACUACUUCUCGGAGGUAAAUUUAUUGGGGAUAUCCAAAUUAUCCUCUGUCUACAAAGGGAUUCUGAAAGAUGGAUCCAAUGUGGCCAUCAAGAGCAUUAAUGUGACUUGUUGUAAGACAGAGGAAGCUGAGUUCAUGAAAGGACUACACUUGUUAGCAUCUCUGAGACACGACAACCUUGUUAAGUUGAGAGGAUUUUGCCUUUCCAAGGGAAGGGGUGAAUGUUUUCUUAUCUAUGAUUUUGUUUCUAAUGGAAACCUGUCACAGUAUCUUGAUGUGCAAGACAACAGCAGCCUGGUUCUUGACUGGCACACCAGGGUUUCUAUCAUCAAUGGGAUUGCCAAAGGCAUUGGAUACCUGCACUGCAGCGAGCCAAGCAAACCGGGCAUAGUUCACCAAAACCUUUCGAUAGAGAAAAUCCUCAUCGACGAACAGUUUGAUCCAUUAAUAUCAGAUUCCGGCCUCCCCAAGCUCCUAGCAGACGAUGCAGUCUUCUCGGCUCUCAAGGUCAGCGCAGCCCUCGGAUACAUGGCUCCGGAGUAUGUCACCACUGGCCGGUUUACAGAGAAGAGCGACGUGUAUGCAUUUGGAGUGAUAAUCCUGCAAAUUCUUUCUGGCAAAAGUAAACUCGGCAACCUGAUGCAACUGGAAGCUGAAUCUUGCAGAUUGGAGGAUUUCAUUGACCAAAAUCUGAAGGGCAAGUUCUCUGGCUCCGAGGCUGGUAGGCUAGUAGAAAUUGCUCUGGCCUGUACUCAUGAGCUUCCAGACCAAAGACCAAGCAUGGAAGCUGUGAUUGGGGAUCUGAGAAAAGUGUAAUGCUGGCAGGCUAAGGAGAAAAUCCUUCGAGGGAAUGGAUGUAUAUUAAAAGAAUGGUUCUUUAAUCUUUAUAGAUUGGAACAGAAAAGGAGUAAGAGGGAAGAAUUAAUGCAUGUCGCCCCAUAGAUUGCUUGUUUGGUGUAAGAGAAACUUUAGCUUGGUGAAAAGCUGUGCCAGCGGGCUUGUGGCAAUGAUAAUGACGAUGAUGAGUCUCUGCAACUCUUCUCCUACUUUUGUUCUUGCAUGGAAGGCACUUGGUCUUUGUUGGCUAGAGAUUGGACCCACAAUCUCGGACUCUAAAAUGAAGAUGCGAGGAAGAGGAAGAGGAAGAGGAAAGGGAUGAGGAAGAAGAGGAUCACUCAUGUAUUUGUAGGUCUUAGCGGGGGAGUACCAGAUGUGGGGCCUAGCAGCAGUGUUCAGUAGUGUGUGUACGUGGAGCCGCUCAAGACCAAAGAUGUCUCGGAGUUGUUAGUUUUAUAGUGUUUGUCAGUUUAGUAUUAGUUUAUAUUUCAGUUGAGGGAUUUUCCCUUAGUUAGAGUUUAUGGUUUUCAAUUUAUGUUGACUCGGAGUUUUAUUUCAGUUG